rnacentral:lncRNA from 1 species
GUGAUCAUUUCAUAGAGAAGAGUUUUCAUCAUAUAGUUAGAAAAGCAAAAAUUCUUAUAAGUAUAAUUGAAAUUUUUGGCUGGGAAACUAAUGUAGAUAAUUUUUCCCAGAACUUUUUCUUCUUCUUCUCCUUCUUAAUUAUAUAUUCUUCUUCCUCCUCCUCCUCCUCCUCCUCUCUCUUCAUUUUCUUUUCUUUCCCGCCACUUAGAGAGAGUUGAUUUUCAUUUAUUAACCUUUCCUUUUCAACCCCUUUACCCUCAAGAAUAUUACAUUUGAAGAAUCAGAAUACAUAAAGACUAGA